rnacentral:rRNA from 1 species
UACGUAGGGUGCAAGCGUUGUCCGGAAUUAUUGGGCGUAAAGAGCUCGUAGGCGGUUUGUCGCGUCUGCUGUGAAAACCUAAGGCUCAACCUUGGGCUUGCAGUGGGUACGGGCAGACUAGAGUGCGGUAGGGGUGACUGGAAUUCCUGGUGUAGCGGUGGAAUGCGCAGAUAUCAGGAGGAGCACCGGUGGCGAAGGCGGGUCUCUGGGCCGUAACUGACGCUGAGGAGCGAAAGCGUGGGGAGCGAACAGG